rnacentral:rRNA from 1 species
AACGAACGCUGGCGGCAGGCCUAACACAUGCAAGUCGAACGCCCUAGCAAUAGGGAGUGGCAGACGGGUGAGUAACGCGUGGGAACGUGCCUUUCGGUUCGGAAUAACUUAGGGAAACUUGAGCUAAUACCGGAUACGCCCUUCGGGGGAAAGAUUUAUUGCCGAAAGAUCGGCCCGCUUCCGAUUAGCUAGUUGGUGAGGUAAAGGCUCACCAAGGCGACAAUCGGUAGCUGGUCUGAGAGGAUGAUCAGCCACACUGGGACUGAGACACGGCCCAGACUGCUACGGGAGGCAGCGGUGGGGAAUAUUGGACAAUGGGCGCAAGCCUGAUCCAGCCAUGCCGCGUGAGUGAUGAAGGCCCUAGGGUUGUAAAGCUCUUUCGCCAGGGACGAUAAUGACGGUACCUGGAUAAGAAGCCCCGGCUAACUUCGUGCCAGCCGCCGCCGUAA